UACGUAGGUGGCAAGCGUUGUCCGGAUUUACUGGGCGUAAAGAGCGCGCAGGCGGUCGUUCAAGUCGCGUGUGAAAGCCCCCGGCUCAACUGGGGAGGGUCACGCGAUACUGAUCGACUCGAAGGCAGGAGAGGGAAGUGGAAUUCCCGGUGUAGUGGCGAAAUGCGUAGAUAUCGGGAGGAACAUCAGUUGCGAAGGCGGCUCUCUGGACCAGCACUGACACUGAGGCACGAAAGCGUGGGGAGCAAACAGG
rnacentral:rRNA from 1 species